rnacentral:misc_RNA from 1 species
AAGUCGUAACAAGGUCUCCGUAGGUGAACCUGCGGAGGGAUCAUUAAAAAGAAAGAGUUGCAAGACUCGAAAACCAUCGCGAACGUCACCCCUUCGUCGUUGCUUCGGCGGGCGGCCCCGGACGGGGCCGCAAGCCCGCGAGGGCGGCCGCCGGAGGGACAGAACACUCUGUUUUCUCGUGUCUCUGAGUGGAUAACAGCGAAAUAAGUCAAAA